rnacentral:rRNA from 1 species
AGCCGGUCUCGCGAAUGCUCUAGAGUUUGAAGUUUGAUCAUGGCUCAGAUUCAACGCUGGUAGGCAUGCCUUACACAUGCAAGUCGAACGGUAACAGGUCUUCGGACGCUGACGAGUGGCGAACGGGUGAGUAAUACAUCGGAACGUGCCCAGUCGUGGGGGAUAACUACUCGAAAGAGUAGCUAAUACCGCAUACAAUCUGAGGAUGAAAGCGGGGGACCUUCGGGCCUCGCGCGAUUGGAGCGGCCGAUGGCAGAUUAGGUAGUUGGUGGGAUAAAAGCUUACCAAGCCGACGAUCUGUAGCUGGUCUGAGAGGACGACCAGCCACACUGGGACUGAGACACGGCCCAGACUCCUACGGGAGGCAGCAGUGGGGAAUUUUGGACAAUGGGCGAAAGCCUGAUCCAGCAAUGCCGCGUGCAGGAUGAAGGCCUUCGGGUUGUAAACUGCUUUUGUACGGAACGAAAAAGCUUCUCCUAAUACGAGAGGCCCAUGACGGUACCGUAAGAAUAAGCACCGGCUAACUACGUGCCAGCAGCCGCGGUAAUACGUAGGGUGCGAGCGUUAAUCGGAAUUACUGGGCGUAAAGCGUGCGCAGGCGGUUAUGUAAGACAGAUGUGAAAUUCCCCGGGCUCAACCUGGGAACUGCAUUUGU